UCCACCUGUAAGGCCCCCACCUGGGCUGCAGGGCUGUGUGGGGUUAAAAUGAUGCACUGAAGUCCCUGAGAAGAGUGGCUGACCUCAUAACAAGUUAUUAUAUUGUAGCCUGUCACCUGUUGGCUGGAGGAGAGGCAUUGGAUUGUUCGGUGAGACCCCUCAGGAUUGACUUUAGACCCUUAUGGAAUUCUCAAUGGAAUGUGAUGGGCUAUAAAUAAAUAAAAAAGAAAGCAAAAAUAGAGACUUGCUUCCUGUGACUCUUUUAGGUUGCUGGGUGAGGAGUGCUUAUUCAGAGUCUUGUGGCUCUCUCCUUAUGUCUUUCUCCCAGUCCUUAGUUAGAAUGAAACAAAAGAACUUUCCCAGAACUUUCUCAUUCCUCCAUGGCCUGGCUGAGAACGCUCUCGGAAAUUCCAUCUUGUGUUUGUUGCCUGUUUCCAUAGUUACCCAGAUUCCAAGCACUGGCCCUGGGCCCACCACAACUCAUCCCUCAAAGUCUCCCUGGCAGAGGACAAGCAUUCCUUCUCCCCGUAGCGCGUCAGAGCCAAGGAAGGCUGCUCUGCUUCCUCCGAAGCCCCUGUCCCAGGCCUGCUCCCGUGCUGGUCUAGACUGUCAGAACAGUUCCCAGAUCACACAGCCCAGCCCCGAAGAUGGGGAACUGCCUCAAAUCCCCCACCUCGGACGACAGCUCCCUGCUUCCGCAGUCUCAGUCCCACCCGGCUGGCUUUGGCCAGGGCGCGGAGCGGUAUCCCGAGCCGCCGUCGCCAUGUCAGGAACAAGUUCCAGUUCCAGUGUAUCAUCCAACACCUAGUCAGACUCGGCUAGCAACUCAGCUGACCGAAGAGGAACAAAUCAGAGUAGCUCAAAGAAUAGGCCUCAUACAGCUUCUGCCUAAAGGAGUUUAUGACCCUGGAAGAGACGGAUCAAAAAAAAAAAGAUCCAGGAGUGUGUGAUCUGUCUGAUGGACUUUGGUUACGGGGACCCGAUUCGAUUUCUGCCGUGCCUGCACAUGUAUCACUUGGCCUGUAUAGACGACUGGUUGAUGAGAUCCUUCACGUGCCCCUCCUGCAUGGAGCCAGUUGAUGCAGCACUGCUUUCGUCCUGUGAGACGAGUGCUAUUUUUCCUAAAUAAAAUAACUUUCUUCUCCCCUCCACCGAUUCUUUUCUGAAGUUACUGGCAUUUGGGUCAAGGUUUCAUUAAAAGCUACAUUUUAUAACACGAGCACCAAAAAAGUAGUUUUAAGCUUGUUUGCACAGUUCUUUCCAUUGGAAAUGGAAUUCAUUGCCUUUCAAAAUAGUGUAUUAUUAUUAUUGUUGGGGUUGGCUCUAUGCUUGAAAACCACUUUAUUUAUAACCUGUUGUAAGUGCUGUAUUCUGUUUGCAGUUAGGAAAUGCAGAAUUCAAAGUGAUUUCCUAGCUUGUAAGCAAGCUGAGGUGCACUAGCCUUUUUCUAUAAAAAAAUGAGUUAAUGCGUCAAGAAACCAACUCCAGCAAGGUGGUUUAAUAGUAUCCUUUCCUAUGUGUUCAUCUUCUCUUCAUUUCAGCUGAGGAAUUACUUUCUUGUACCAAACAUUACACCCUUGGAAAACAUUCCAGAUGGUUCUCAUUAACAUUCCAAUUCCUUUUUUUUUUGCAAUUUCUUUUUUUUCUAGUCUCCUCAAACUGCUAUCUUAGAAGUAAGCAAACACCAGUUUAAGGAGCCAGCUCCAAUGAAUAGUCUUUUUCAGGGAUCCCCUUAUAUACCCAUAAAGGAGCCUCCAGGUCCUUUUCUUGCCAGUGGCCACCUACCCCUUCAUGGCACUGCUGUGGGUAGUGUUCCAUGGCAGGCUUUCUGAACUGGUCAUCACGGAGACCCCAAACACACCCGGGGGGUGAUGGUGGUGGUGGUGGUGUUCUCUUAAAGGGGCAAGAAGAGGGGCAGAGCCCCCUGCUCCCCAGUAGGACCUCGCCCUGAGGCGCCCCUGCUGGGGGACUGUCUGCCCCAG
rnacentral:lncRNA from 1 species